AUCAGGUUCGUCUUAGUUAUUGCAAGUAUUGUCUACGUAGGAAAAUACAUAGGAGAUACAUCUGAGUCGUCUCCUGAAAACAAAGCUCAGACUCAUCCUUCCCCGUCUCCUCUAGAAGGUUUACUUGAAAUGGCAGGGAGAAAUCGCAUGCCUCGUGAUGCAUUCGAUAAUCGGCGUGGGUAUCCCCCAGAAGGACCUCUUGUCCGGGGUCCUUUGACUCGGCCAAUGCCACCUCAUCCUGCUUUGAUGGAAGAAGAACUUGAAAUGCAGCAUAUUGAAAUUCGGAGGCUUUUUGGUGAAAAUCAGAGGCUGGUUGAAGAUCGUAUGGCUCUGCAGAGAGAGUUAGGUGGUGCUAAGGAGGAAAUUCAUCAUAUGAAUCUUGCCAUUGAGCAUAUUCGUGCAGAACAAGAAGUACAUUCAAGGGAGCUUAUUGAGAGAGGGUUAAAACUGGAAGCUGAUCUUCGCUUGGCUGAGCCUUUGAAAAAUGAGGCAGUACAACUUCGUGCUGAAGUUCAGAAGCUGAAUACCAUUAGGCAGGAUCUGGCAGGGCAAGUUCAGACCCUUACACAAGACCUAGGAAAACUGAAAGCUGAUAAUCAGCAGAUUCCACUUAUGCGAGCGGAGAUUGAUGGACUACAUCAGGAGCUUUUGCGUGCUAGAACUGCUAUUGAUUAUGAAAAGAAGGGAAAUAUUGAGCUGAUGGAACAGAGGCAGGCAAUGGAAAAGAACUUGGUUUCCAUGGCACGUGAAGUUGAAAAGUUACGUGCAGAGCUGGCAAAUGCUGAUGGUAGACCAUGGGGUGCUGGUGCUGGUGGACCAUAUGGGAUGAAAUUCAGCAACCUGGAGGGGGGAUUUUCUGCAUCUUAUGGAGAUGGAUAUGGUGUUCAUCUGGGUGCUGCUGACAAGGGCCCGUUAUAUGGACAAGGUUCUGCUUCUUGGGGAGGACUUGAGAAACCUCGUGUGCCUCGUCGUUGAGAUCUGGAUGGGUUGAAGCUCUGAAAUUGCAAAGAAGGCGCUCCUUUUGGCAGUUUGUCGGCUUUCCGAUAUAUUAAUAGUCUAGAAGGGCUUGAUUAUCCUGUAUGUGCGUAUCAAAUCAAUAGUUUUUUAUCUUAUUAUAGGUGGUUAUCUCAAGUGACUUCUAUAGGAGAGUCAAGAUGAAGAACUGGUACUAGUGCUUACUUUCUGAGAUAUUGUUGAAAGGUGAAGCAAGAAAUGAGGUAUCCCUUCUAUGAAAAAUUGAAUCAGGUAACAUUUAAAAGGAUAGUCACAUUAAAAGUGUGAUGCUCUAACCUGUCAGCUAAAAGGGCUUACAUAACAGAAAUUUUACUCUUGGGGAGUUCAUGUAACGUAAUGAAUAAGAAAUUUUUGGAAAAGUAAAAGAUGCUUUUUUCAAGAUUUUUGGCUAAUCAGCCAGAAUAAUUAAGUAGAAGGACCGGUGAAGAAUGUAGGUCGUUAACUGGUGGUGUAGAGAAUUUGCGAGAGUUACUGAAGUGCAUUUUAUCCACAGGCUGUGUUAUAUGGAUAAGAGAUUUUUGGAGAAGAAAAAGAUGCUUUUUCAAGAUUUUGGGUUAAUCUACCAGAAUAAUUAAGUAGAAGGAAUGGUGAAGAAUGUAGGUAACUAACUUGGUGGUUUUUUAUGGUCUAGAGAUUUUGCAAGAGUUUUUGAAGUGCAUUUUAUCCAGGUUAGAUUGUUUCAUGGGUUGAAGUAGCCUUAAGGGCCACAUUUUUUCCCUUGUAGAUAUUUGAGGCUGUUUCAAAGAGGCAAAUUGCUGGAUCUUGCUUUGACAUCGUCUAGGGUUUAUUAUUAUACUAAUUCUCAAAUGAAAGGAUGUCGGUUGCAGAUUAUGGUCAUUUAUAUGAAACCUUGAGGUGGAUUUGUAUGCUUGCCUACAAUCUUUUUGUGUUUUUCCUAAGGUGGGGACAUACAAAGUCAAGGCAAUAUCCCUAGAAUCGGCAAUUGUCACUUUUUCUAACUAGAGUCACAAAAUCGAUUGACUUUUAACAGACUUAGAAGAUAGAAAUAACUUAGUGAUACCAAACUCCUACUUUCUAAAGGGAGUUCAGGGGUUCAAACGUCGGUGGAAGCAUGUGUGUGUGAAUACCAAUUAGGAAAAAAAAAAAAAAAGAAAUGAUGAUUAUAUGAUAGCGAUUUUCAUUUAAAAUAAUACUCCCUCCGUCCCAAAAUACAUGACGGGUUUGGGAACUAUGACUCACAUUUUUGCUCAAGAAGGCAGAAGGAAGUGUCCUAGUUUUUUGUUUACUUUUUAUUAUUCCAGCACUUCCAGUAAUUGUUACUUGAAAUGCUACUCUUCUCUUAUUUUCUCAACGGUGCUUGUUCUGGUUAUCUUGAUGUUAGCAUAUGGUAGAAGAGGAGGUUAUUCUUUUAGGAACCUUGAAAAGCUGAAUCUGUCUCUUGAUAUAUUAUUGCCUUUGGUUCUUUUUCUUCUGCCUUUUCAAAUGAAAUUCCUGUGCUUCGGGCUUGUAGAACAGUCAGGUAUUGAAUGAUAGCCGAUUUGCUAUUGUUGUUAAUUUUCCCUUUUCGACGGGAAAAAGUUAUAGUAAUAUACAGAUUGCCACUGUAUUUUGUUUACUCUUCAAACUUGCUAGUGCGGGGUAAAUCUUUUACCUCUCGACUUUUAUCUUUGGAAAAAUUACAUAUAAAUGGAGUCAAAGUUCCAUAUUUAGUUAGAGACUGAGUCAAAGUUUCAUAUUUCUCUAAAAUGGAUUGCUGAGGUGGCACAUGAUUUUUUACUGUUUAAAAAAUUGUGGUGCCUAAAAUGCCCUUCUCUAACAAAAAAGUAGUACCUUCAGUUUAAAAAAGUAGUACCGUCGGAGAAAAAGUAGUACAUUCGCGGGUGUUUAAAAACAUGGUACCUGGACGCCAAAAAGUAGUACUUUCAGUUCAAAAAAGUAGUACCUUCGAAGAAAAAGUAGUACCUUCGCGGAAGGGUAUUUUAGGCACCACAAUUUCUAAACAGUAAAAAAUCAUGUGCCACCUCAGCAAUCCAUUUUAGAGAAAUAUGGAACUUUGACUCAGUCUCUAAGUAAAUAUGGAACUUUGACUCAGUCUCUAAGUAAAUAUGGAACUUUGACUCCAUUUAUAUGUAAUUUUCCCUUUAUCUUUUGUCCUCCAUGACAUUUUUGUUAGGUGAGUUGAUUGAAGAAUUUUCCAUUUGAUGGACCCUGUUUAAGCUCUGUUUUAAAUAUAUAUAUAUAUAUAUAUAUUUCAGAUAAAAUAUAUAUGUUUUAUUUUUAUUUUUAGGUGUUUGGCAAAGGUCUAGGUUGAGUUCAUCGGGUGGGGCAUGUAAAAUAGUUUGUCCAAAAUAAAUAAAUAAUUUAUUUUUGUUAGAUUUUUUUUUUUUUUUUUUU